ACUGUUCACUCCUUGACGGUAUCUAACCAGAAAGCCACGGCUAACUACGUGCCAGCAGCCGCGGUAAUACGUAGGUGGCAAGCGUUGUCCGGAUUUAUUGGGCGUAAAGCGAGCGCAGGUGGUUUCUUAAGUCUGAUGUAAAAGGCAGUGGCUCAACCAUUGUGUGCAUUGGAAACUGGGAGACUUGAGUGCAGGAGAGGAGAGUGGAAUUCCAUGUGUAGCGGUGAAAUGCGUAGAUAUAUGGAGGAACACCGGAGGCGAAAGCGGCUCUCUGGCCUGUAACUGACACUGAGGCUCGAAAGCGUGGGGAGCAAACAGGAUUAGAUACCCUGGUAGUCCACGCCGUAAACGAUGAUUACUAGCUGUUUGUGAUAUACAAUAAGCGGCUAAGCGAAAGCGAUAAGUAAUCCACCUGGGGAGUACGCCGGCAACGGUG
rnacentral:rRNA from 1 species